rnacentral:rRNA from 1 species
UACAAUGGAGAGUUUGAUCCUGGCUCAGGAUGAACGCUAGCGGCAGGGCUAAUACAUGCAAGUCGAGGGGGAACAGGAAGUGCUUGCACUUCGCUGACGACCGGCGC